rnacentral:rRNA from 1 species
AGUGAACGCUGGCGGUAGGCCUAACACAUGCAAGUCGAACGGCAGCACAGUAAGAGCUUGCUCUUACGGGUGGCGAGUGGCGGACGGGUGAGGAAUACAUCGGAAUCUACUUUUUCGUGGGGGAUCACGUAGGGAAACUUACGCUAAUACCGCAUACGACCUACGGGUGAAAGCAGGGGAUCUUCGGACCUUGCGCGGUUGAAUGAGCCGAUGUCGGAUUAGCUAGUUGGCGGGGUAAAGGCCCACCAAGGCGACGAUCCGUAGCUGGUCUGAGAGGAUGGUCAGCCACACUGGAACUGAGACACGGUCCAGACUCCUACGGGAGGCAGCAGUGGGGAAUAUUGGACAAUGGGCGCAAGCCUGAUCCAGCCAUACCGCGUGGGUGAAGGAGGCCUUCGGGUUGUAAAGCCCUUUUGUUGGGAAAGAAAAGCAGCAGGUUAAUACCCCGCUGUUCUGACGGUACCCAAAGAAUAAGCACCGGCUAACUUCGUG